CCAUGCAUGUUAACACGCCUCAAGACCGGUAGCCCGGCAGGAAGCACGGCAAACCCCAGCAAAGCCCGCUUCGCGCCGGGCGCCUCAGCCAGCGUGCAAAGCCAGACACCACGUGACGCCGCGCAGAGCCCGCCAGACCGCGCACGUGGCAGGCAUGCCGCGGCCUCGUGAGCUGCAGCAGAACGGCACGGGCUGAUUGGCUGGGGCGUGUCCCUCCCCGCCAAUCAGGAGACGGCAGGAGGAAAGUUUCCCCCCACGUGCCCCAGAGACAAGGUGAGGGAGAGGCGCUGAGGGGGACUGACCCCUCCCCCGAGGUUUCCUAUUGGUCCCCCAUCAGGGGCGGGGCCUCCAGAAGGAAUAAAAGGCCGCGUGCGGCGCAAGUGGGCGGAUUCGACGAUUGGCUGCGGUGGCGGAGGGCAGAGAAGAGCUGGCCAGCGGGGGGGAGCGGUAACCCCAGAAGUGCCCUGAGGAGGGCGGAGAAGAGCUUGUCAGCGGGGCGGGGGGGAGCGGUAACCCUGGAAGACCUGAAGAGGCAGAUCUGAAGAGGCAGCGGCGCCCCGAGGAGGUGAGGCGGAGCCCCCUGCCCGCUCUGUGCCGGGGGGGGCACGUGGGCUGCAGUUGGGGACCUACGGCCCCUCUGCAGGCCCGGGGCUGUGAAAGGCUGUGGGGAGUGACGUCCCGAGCCACGUGGGUGCUGCGUGGCUCUAGCAUCUGUCAAGCACCGGUGACCCGCGGGGCGGGCAGCGGCCGGGCUUGCACGCUUCCAGUCCUUCCCUGAUGGCACCAUUUGGGGGCAGUGGGCGAGGUCCCCGGGCCUCGGCUGCAGCUUUUCCUUAAGGUGUUCUUCAGGGGGGCGGAGGCUCAGGUCCGUAGUCACCUCCACUGCCCCCUUAACGUGUCAUUUGGGGGGGCGGCGGGCAGGGCUGGUUUGUCUCUGCGCGCGGUCCUUUCUUAAGGCAUGAUUUGGGUCUGCAGUGGGGAGGGCCGGAGGACCCCCGCAGUCCUCCCUUAGGGUGUCAUUUGUGGGGGGCAGCGGCAAGGUCCGUAGGCCCCCGCUGUCCUCCCUUAAGAUACCAUUCGGGUUGGCAGUGGGUCUGGUCUGAACCCCUGUAGUUCUCAUUUCCUGCCUUUGGGGGGGGGCAGCGGGCCAGGCCCAUCGGGCUUGGCCCGCGGCCCCUCCUUAAGGCACCACUUGAGGCUGCAGUGGGCGAGGGCCUGGAGGUCGCCGCUGUCUGCUCUCGGGGUCAUCUUGCCGAGCUGCGGUGUGGUGCUGCCCUGCUCGCAAACGGGUCAAGCACUGACAGUCUUUCACACCCCCGAGCCCGAGCUACGGUGUGGUGCUGCCUAGCUCUGUGGGCGGUCAAGCACUGGUGGUCACUUGAGGGGGCUUGUGCCCUCUCAAGGCCAUCCCAUGGGGAAGCACGAGCACAGGGGGUACCGCUGAAGAAAACCAGCAGAGAAAAUAACGCAAAAGCAGGUGUGAGCCGGCCUGCUAUUUAAUGGACAAAUAAAAUUGAUCUGCCAGGCACCUCCUUGGUGUCUGGUGCCUUUCAUCUCCAAGUUCAUCCUUCCCCGCUGCGGUGUUUCUCUCCUCUUCUCUCCUGUUAUUUCGCAUCCAAGUUUCCCCACCCGCUGCCCCCUUCAAUUUCUGCAGUGGUUCCCUUGUAACCACUGUGUGUGUCCUGAGUGUGCGCUGAGUGUGUCGGAGCUGGUCGUCCAGGAUGCUGAAUCCCUUGCUGAAAAGGGAUUGAUGGAAGACAUCGCUUGCCUGGACCGGCCACCUGAGGCUGCAGCCCCGAAUCCCGCGAGACCGGUCCCCUUUGAGGGUCGAUGCGCAUCGCCCCAGGAAGGGCAAGCAGACGGGAUGGCAGGCGAGCAGCAGUGAGCUGACCAGGAGGGAAGAAGGCCAGGCCAGCCAAACAGGAGGUAAAGGCCUCGGAAGAACGGGAAGGAGACGCGGAUGGGAAAGCAGCAGGGAAGAGGCGAGGUAGGAGAAAAGCCAGUCAGAGAAACAGGAUGUGAAGGAAAGGGACUCUGGACAGAGUGGCAUCCCUGCCUUCAGGUCUCGAUCAUGUCUUAGCCAAAUUUCGGCUUUGUGAGCCUUUGGGCGAGCUCCCUGUAACUCAGAAACGAGUCUCUGCCCUUGAUGUUGUUGCACUUUUGCAGCAGUCAGGUGGAAGGCGGACAACCCUGUAAUCAAGGUGUGUCACCACCACCAUGUUUGUAAAGGCCGCGGAUCUGGUUAGUGGUCUUGCACAGCACAGUCCCAUCCUGUCAUCAGAGUCGAGGCCAGCUGUCAGACUUGGCUGCCAGUUGCACAGCAACCCGUAAGUGGGGUGCGUGGUGCUUUCUAACAUGAGAAAAAAUGUCUAGCGCUGGACAUCCUGUAAUUGGGAGUCAAAGUCCACUGCUAUUCCUGGCCAGUCGAAGAGGAGCCCCUGUAAGCAGAGUGGACGUAGCCGCCUUCCACUGGCCUUAGAGAGCUGGAGCAGUUUGCAGUGUUGUGCCGCAGGGCGGCCUUGCACACCAGAGCCGAGCCUCAUGGGGUGACAGCCAACUCUUUAGACCCCAGAACUUGAUGAUUUUCCCGUGGUCUGGGUUGAAGUCUGUGGCCUCCUCUCCCCCUGUGUCCAGGCACCUGUCCUUUUUCAUGCAUCUGUGUCUGACUUCACGUCUGGACUCCUGGGCCACCCUGUAACAAGGGUGCAAGUCCCAUGCCCCUGGUGGAAGGCUAAAUAGCGCAGAGCAGUGGACAUCCCUGUAAGCAGGGUGCAGCUCUCUCUCACUUUGGGGACAGCCCUGUCCUUUGCCUGGCCUGGUGGCCCCCCCUGUAAGCAGGGCUGUGGUCCUCUCCCUUUUGCCCGCUGUGGGCAGCCUGACUAGCCAGGCGGGCCGGGCCCUGUAACGAGGGCGCCGGUCUCAGCCUUGUCGCCCCCUGGGAGCGGAGGAGGAUUUUCAGUGUAAGGCUCGAGGUCAAGCAGUUCGCAGCAUCGAACUCCUUUCCAGCUUGGGAACACUUUUUACCCUUGUGAGACUGUGGAGAGCUAGAGAGAGGAGCGCCUGGGAGCGAAAGCGUUUGUUAUUUUCUUUUUGUUCUUAAAAUCGCUGCAGCGUACUUUGUUUUCUUCCCAGUGCUGGAAAAGGGGUGAGAUGUGUCCUCGUAGCCUUCUCCUCCCACCUCCAUACCUAGGGGGACGGAUAUCCAGGCCUUUUGGUCUCGGGGAGCAUUAGGCCCCCUCUCUAAUAAUUUUGGGCACACGGCCUCCCUGUAGUUUGGGGUACAGGCCUUAGGCCCCCUCUUUUUGGGGUCCUUUGGGCACUUGGUAGUUCGAUUGCAGUUCCUGCUCUCUUUGAGAGACAGCCACGUGUUCCCCAGCUCAGUCCCUGGGGACGAGUGCCCUGGCACUUGGCCAGCCCUUGCUCUGCGCCCCCGGUCUGCAGCCUGUAAGCAGGGUCCAGGCCCCCUUGCUUCUCCAGGUUGGGUCUCGUCCCACUCGGUGAGGUUGGCCACAGAUGAUCCCCACAGACUGCAGGGAAGGUUGCAGGCUUGUGGAGGAUACUGGGUGCGCUGGGACCCCUGACGCUUCGUGACCUUCCUGUAACUCAGGUCCAGGUCUCUGCUCUGCUGCUUCUGGCACCAUUGAGAUGGUCUCCUCUCACACCCUGUAAACAGGGCUGCGCCCCGCCCAACCCCUCUGACCUUGUGGGAGGAGGCCUCCUUUAGCCCUUUGGGCUCUGUGCCCAUCAUGAUAGGUGGCUGAAGCCAUAACCUUUGUGUCCCCAGACACAGGGCUGCUUUGAGCCCUGAUUGAGACCACCUGAGGCACCCGUCAGCUGGCAUUCAGGGCUUUACAGGUUUUCUCUGGGCUUCAUGCCCCGCAGCCAGCUGUGUGCAGCAAGCACCGCCCUGUAAGCAGGGUUGCCGGUGUCUGUGGCCACCUUCAUGGUGCCGUCCUAGCACUUCUGUCCAGAGUCCUGGCCCAUUGCGCUCUGCUCCUGGCUGGCCCAGAUGUCGGCAGCCCAGACCACAGACAUCUGACGUCCCCCAUCUCCACGGAUAGAGGACAGAUCGGCACCAGAUUCAGGCCCUGAUAGGAGCAGCUGGAAAGAUGGCGCACAAGCAGGAGUCAGCGGACAAGGAGGGAGGAAAACCAUGCAAAGGGGUUUGACUUUGCUGUCGAGGAAGUUGUAGUUUCUGCCCAUUGUCCUCCACGUGUGCGGAUGCUUGUUUCCUUGAACCGCACCGCCUGAGCAACCAGCGUUUGGUCAGCCUUGUGCCAUGGCAGCUGGUGUUUGCGGGGAGCACCAUCCUCUGCCAGAUGGACGAGCAGCAGGCGAACCACACCAGGGCGGAAAGCCAGGAAAAUGGGAUGCGAAGGGAAAGGACUCUGGACAGAGUGAUCUCCCUGCCUUUAAGUAUCAGUCAUGUAUUAGUCAAAUUUUGGCUGCAUGAGCUCUCUGUAACGCAGUAACAAGCUUGUGCGUUUGAUGCUGUUGCGCUUCUGCGGCAGUUGGGUGGAAGUGGACAACCCUGUAAGCAAGGCGUGUGUCACCGCCACCUCCUUUGUAAAGAGUGUGGAUCUACUCAGUGGUCUUGCGCAGUGGGGCUGCCCUGUAAGCGGGGCCCGGGCCAGCUGCCAGACAUGACUGCCAGGGGCGCAGCCUCCUGUGAGUAGGGUGCAUGGUGCGUCUUACUGUGUAAGAAAGACAGGCAGUUUGAAUGUCCCUAGCAUUGGACGUCCUGUAAUUGGGAGUCAAAGUCCACUGCUGUUCCCAGCCAGUCGGAGAGGAGCCCCUGUAAGCAGGAUGGACAUAGCCUCUUUCCACUGGCAUAGACAGCCGGAGCAGUCUGCAGCGCUGUGCUGCAGGGCAGCCUCGCAUACUGGAGCCGAGUCUCGUGGGGUGACGGCAAACUCCUUAGACCCCAGAGCUUGAUGACCUUCCCGUGGUCUGGGUUGAAGCCCGUGGCCUCCUCUCUGAUCCUUGUGUCCAGGCACCUGUCCUUUUUCAUGCAUCUAUGCCUGGCACUCCACAUCCAGACAGCUGGGCCACCCUGUAAGGAGGGUGCGAGUCCCACAUCCCUUGGUGCAGGGUUAGAUUGCGCAGAGCUGUGGACCCCCCUGUAAGCAGGGUCCAGGUCUCAGUGUGCCUUUGAGGGCAGCCCUGUCCUUGGUCUGGCUGUGGGCCCCGCCUGUAAGCAGGGCUGUGGGCCUUUCCCUUUUGCCCCUCUUGGGCAGUGUGGCAAGUGAGAUGGACUGUGCCCUGUAAGGAGGGUACGAGUCCCACGUUUCUUGGUGGAGGGCUAAAUUGUGCAGAGCUGUGCACCACCCUGUAAACAGGGCCCAGGUCUCUAUGUGCCCUUGGGCACAGCCCUGUCCUUUGCCAGGCCUGACCGCCCCCUCUGUAAGCAGGGCUGUGGGCCUUUCCCUUUUGCCUGUCUUGGGCAGUGUGGCAAGUGAGACGGACCAUGUCCUGUAACGAGGGUGUGAGUCCCGUGUCUCUUGGUGGAGGGCUAGAUUGCGCAGAGCAGUGGACCACCCUGUAAGCAGGGUCCAGGUCUCAAUGUGCCUUUGGGGACAGCUCUGUCUAUUGGCUGGCUGUGGCCCUCCUUGUAACCAGGGCUAUGGGCCUUUCCCUUUUGCCCCUCUUGGGCAGUGUGGCUAGUCACACGGACUGUGCCCUGUAAUGAGGGUACGAGUCCUGUGCAUCCUGUUGCACGCCUGGGUUCUGCAGAGCUGUGGCCUGCCCUGUAAGCAGGGUUCAGGUCUCUACGUGCCUUUGGGGACAGCCCUGUCCUUUGCCCGGCCUGGCGACCCGCCCUGUAAACAGGGCUCUGGGCCUUUGCCUUUUCUCCCCCGUGGGCAGUGUGGCCAGUGAGAUGGACCAUGCCCUGUAACGAGGGUGCGAGUCCCGUGUCUCUUGGUGGAGGGCUAGAUUGCGCAGAGCAGUGGAGCACCCUGUAAGCAGGGUCCAGGUCUCAAUGUGCCUUUGGGGACAGCUCUGUCUUUUGGCUGGCUGUGGCCCUCCUUGUAACCAGGGCUAUGGGCCUUUCCCUUUUGCCCCUCUUGGGCAGUGUGGCUAGUCACACGGGGACUGUGCCUUGUAAUGAGGGUACGAGUCCUGUGCAUGCUGUUGCACGCCUAGGUUCUGCAGAGCUGUGGCCUGCCCUGUAAGCAGGGUUCAGGUCUCUACAUGCCUUUGGGGACAGUCCUGUCCUUUGCCAGGCCUGACGGCCCCCCCUGUAAGCAGGGCUGUGGUCCUCUCCCUUUUGCCCGCCGUGGGCAGCCUGACUAGCCAGGUGGGCCGUGCCCUGUAACGAGGGUGCUGGUCUCAGCUUUCUUGCCCCCUGGGAGCGGAGGAGGAUUUUCAGUGUAAGGUUGGAGGUCAAGCAGUUUGCAGCAUCGAUCUCCUUUCCAGCCUGGGAACACUUUUUACCCUUGUGAGAGUGUGGAGAACGAGAGAGAGGAGCGCCUGGGAGUGAAAGCGUUUGUUAUUUUCUUUUUGUUCUUAAAAUCGCUGCAGUGUACUUUGUUUUCUUCCCAGUGCUGGGAAAGGGGCGAGAUGCGUCCUCGUAGCCUUCUCCUCCCACCUCCAUACCUAGGGGGACGGAUUUCCAGGCCUUUUGGUCUCAGGGAGCAUUAGGCCCCCUCUCUAAUACUUGGGGGCACACGGCCUCCCUGUAGUUUGGGGUACAGGCCUUAGACCCCCUCUUUUUGGGAUCCUUUGGGCACUUGGUAGCUCGAUUGCAGUUCCUGCCCUCCUUGAGAGACAGCCACGUGUUCCCCAGCCGAGUCCCUGGGGACGAGUGCCCUGGCACUUGGCCAGCCCUUGCUCUGCGCCCCCGCCCCCGGUCUGCAGCCUGUAAGCAGGGUCCAGGCCCCCUUGCUUCUCCGGGUUGGGUCUCGUCCCACUCGGUGAGGUUGGCCACAGAUGAUCCCCACAGACUGCAGGGAAGGUUGCAGGCUUGUGGAGGAUACUGGGUGCGCUGGGACCCCUGAGGCUUUGUGACCUUCCUGUAACUCGGGUCCAGGUCUCUGCUCUGCUGCUCCUGGCACCAUUGAGAUGGUCUCCUCUCGCACCCUGUAAACAGGGCUGUGCCCCCCCAGCCCCUCUGACCUUGGGGGAGGAGGCCUCCUUUAGCCCUUUGGGCUCUGUAGCAGCCACGAUGGGUGGCUGAAGUAAUGGCCUUUGUGUCCCCAGACACGAGGCUGCUUUGAGCCCUGAUUGAGACUGCCUGAGGCACCCGUCAGCUGGCAUUCAGGGCUUUACAGGUUUUCUCUGGGCUUCAUGCCCCGCAGCCAGCUGUGUGCAGGGAGCACCGCCCUGUAAGCAGGGUUGCCGGUGUCUGUGGUAACCUUCAUGGUGCCAUCCUAGCACUUCUGUCCGGAGUCCUGGCCCUUCGCGCUCUGCUCCUGGUUGGCCCAGGUGUCGGCAGCCCAGACCACAGAUGUCUGCCUUCCCCACUUUCCACGGAUAGAGGACAGUGGCCACAGGCCCAGAGGAAGAAGCGGAGAAGACAACAGACAAAUACGAGUUAACCUAUAACCAGGGCAGAAAACAGUGCCAGCCCACCGGGAGGCAAAGGUCCCUGAAAAGCAGCUGGAGAAGAAGGAACAGAAAGCAGGACAAGAAAGCUCAGAAACAACAAGUGUGGGUUGGUGUGGGCAGGAGGAAGAGAGGCACAUGUUUAAUAUAUGCUUAGAUAAGUACAGAUGGAGACUGUCAUGUGCAUCUCUACACUUUCAAACACUCAGUAGGAGCAAGCUGCUGCACGCUUCAAGUUGCACCAUGGACUCGGUCUUGGGUUGGCCCUAUUUGUAGGCAGCGAGGUUGAGGCGUUGUGCGUAUUUGGUUGGCCGCGAUUUGUAGGCAGUGAGGUUGAGGAGGUGUGCUAGUUGUGCGUAUUGAUAUGUGGCGGUCUAGGUUUUUGCAGGUUGUUUGCUGUUGCUAGUUUAGGAGUUGAUCAAAAUAGAUGUGACUGAAGGUAGCGUGUAGGGUUUUCUGGGUUGGGUUGUCAGUGUUGGUGUGGAAAUGCAGUUGUGCGCUCAGUUCGGUUAGUGGCUUGGCUGUAGCUUGCUUUAGCCGUAGGUUGUGGGGCCAGUUUGAGGCUGUUUGUGGUGCAAUUUGGUUGCGUCUGUAAGUUGAAGCUCCAUGGGUGUUUGAAAGGGUUCAUCUCCAUCCUCAUACAUGAAGAUCUGUGUCCAAAUGAUCCUAGCGGUAGUUGGCGUGCUUAGCGUCAAACCGGAUGUGCACAAUCGAACAAUAAACAGUAUAAAAAACCUUUUCACCUUGUGCCUGGUGCUCUUCUACACUGAGAGGACUUGGCCAUUACCCUUUCCUGUUGUGAGCUGGCUGGAGGAAUAAUAAACUUUCAUUUUGUCUACUGAUCUGAUCUGUCUUGUUGAAUAAAAAUAUGUCCUGUUCUGAUUUAAAAAUGGUCAAAUAAUAUGACAGGUGAUGCCUAGUCACCAAUUGACAACUGUAAAUGCACUGUAGGAAAUCAAUCCUGAUUUAUUUGAGAAAAUAAAAAAUAAUGUACGGUGAAGUUGUGGUGCUUGGGUGCAAUCUGUUGAAGUUCAGCUGUCCCUUGUCUCCAAAGAAGAGAAUGGUCCCAAUAAAAAGAAAA